rnacentral:lncRNA from 1 species
AUGAUUAAACACUCACUUCCGACCGUCAUCCUCCAUGUGUUAUUAUGUCUACAUAAAGAAACUCUUGGGAGGAACCUCAUCCAAUCGAUGAUGGGAGAGGGUAUGCCAGACAGGGGUCUACUGUCGCAACUAGUCCUCGACGCAGCACCUCCGAGAGCGGGCAGCCUACUCGACCGUAAUAGUUGGACGGUCACUUGCGAAAACUCCCACGCGGGGAACGAGUGCAGCAACAUGAUAGACGGCGAUCAAGCAUCCUUCUACCACAGCGAGUAUGAGCCGACAGCAACCCCUCUUCCGCACACUAUCACCAUCGACAUGAAAGAAACCCGCAACGUGAACGGAAUUGUCAUGCUCCCGAGACAAGACGGCGGUAGGAACGGUAUAAUCGCCGGGCACUCCAUACACGUGUCCCAGGAUGGCAGGAUUUUCAGCGACCCCGUGGCUCUCGGCACUUGGUUCGCGGACACGACCGAGAAGUUUUCCGUCUUCGAGCCCGUCAAAGCCCGCUACAUCAGAAUCGUCCACACGACGGAGCCGGAGAAUCAACCCUUCACCUGCGUCGCAGAACUAGGCGUCUUCACGACGCCCACCUUCACCGCCCCACACUCGAGUCUCGGGAUCUGGGGGCCGACGAUCGAUUGUCCGAUCGUCCCCUCGGCGGUCGCCGUCCUGCACGACGGGAAGGUCCUCAUGUGGUCGUCCUACUCGCAGGACGCGUUCGUGGGGGGUCCGGGCGGAUUGACAUUCACGGCCACUUACGAUCCGACGACCACGACUAUCUCCCAACGCACGGUUACCGACACGCACCACGACAUGUUCUGCCCGGGGCUCUGCCAAGAUGCCAACGGGCGCGUCUUCGUGACGGGCGGCAACGAUGCCUCCAGAACGAGCAUCUACGAACCGGGCAUCGACUCGUGGGUCUCGGGUCCGAAUAUGACCAUCUCGAGAGGGUACCAGGCGUCGACGCUCUGCGCCGACGGGCGGAUUUUCGUGAUCGGCGGGUCGUGGAACGGGGGCGUGGGUAAUAAAAACGGAGAGAUCUACGAUCCGACGACCAAUAGGUGGAGCCUGCUCCCCGGGUGCCCCGUGCAACCCAUGUUGACGGCGGACAAACAGGGCAUCUACCGUGGGGACAACCAUGGUUGGCUGUUCGGCUGGAAAGGCAACUCCGUGUUUCAAGCCGGCCCGAGUAAGGCCAUGAACUGGUAUUCGACCACCGGCGCGGGUGGCCACCGAGGUGCUGGGCUUCGCGGCAGGGAUGCCGAUGCCAUGUGCGGGGUGGCCGUCAUGUACGACGCGGUUGCCGGCAAGAUCUUGACCGCAGGGGGAGCGCCGAGCUACAUGCAAGAGGCAGCCACGACCAACGCCCAUCUCAUCACCAUCGGGAACCCGAAGGCGGAUCCUCAGGUCCAAGAGACUGGCAACAGGAUGAACUUCCCGCGCAUCUACCACAACGGCGUGGCGCUCCCGAACGGCGAGGUCUUCAUCGUUGGUGGUCAGAUUGUAGGCACGCCGUUCUUCGACGAGGGUUGGCAGAACACGUCGGAGAUCUACUGUCCGAAGAGGGAUCGGUUCCGACCGGCGGCUGUCAACUCCAUCCCUCGCAACUACCACUCUUUCGCUGUCCUCCUCCAGGAUGCUACUGUUAUCAGCGGGGGCGGAGGGCUCUGCGGAAGCUGUGAUACGAAUCACUUCGACUUUCAAAUCUACUCCCCGGCGUACCUGUUCAACUCUGAUGGGAGCAAGGCGACCAGACCUGUCAUUACUUCCGUGUCCUCUACGACGGUGAGACCGGGAGGUAGACUGGCCUUCAAGACGGACGGUAAGAUAAUUUCGGCGAGUCUCGUCCGUUUGGGCAGCGCCACGCACACCGUUGAUACCGAUCAAAGGAGAGUCCCCCUGGACCUGAGAGCAGCCAGCGCGAACUCUUAUAAUGUGGUUCUACCGGCGGAUUCCGGCAUAUUGAUACCGGGGUAUUGGUUUUUGUUCGUCAUGAACGGGAAGGAUGUACCUAGCAUAGGAAAAAUAAUAAAAGUUGCGUUAUCCUAA